GAUUAUGGCUCAGGACGAACGCUGGCGGCGUGCUUCAUACAUGCAAGUCGAACGAUAAGGUCUCUUCGGAGAUACAUAAGUGGCGGACGGGUGAGUAAAAUGUAGAGAAUCUGCCCUAGAGAUGGGGACAACAGUUGGAAACGACUGCUAAUACCCAAUAUGAGCGUAGUUGAGAUACUAUUCUUGAAAACUCCGGUGCUCUGGGAUGAGUCUGCAUCUGAUUAGCUAGUUGGCGGUGUAAUGGACCACCAAGGCGACGAUCAGUAGCUGGUUUGAGAGGAUGAUCAGCCACAAUGGGACUGAGACACGGCCCAUACUCCUACGGGAGGCAGCAGUAGGGAAUUUUGCGCAAUGGGGGAAACCCUGACGCAAGCAACGCCGCGUGAAUGAAGAAGCCCUUCGGGGCGUAAAGUUCUGUCAGUAGGGAAGAACAAAUGACUGUACCUACAGAGGAAGCAUCGGCUAACUCCGUGCCAGCCGCCGC
rnacentral:rRNA from 1 species